CGGCCGGGAACUCAAAGGAGACUGCCAGUGAUAAACUGGAGGAAGGUGGGGAUGACGUCAAGUCAUCAUGGCCCUUACGACCAGGGCUACACACGUGCUACAAUGGCAUAUACAAAGAGAAGCGACCUCGCGAGAGCAAGCGGACCUCAUAAAGUAUGUCGUAGUCCGGAUUGGAGUCUGCAACUCGACUCCAUGAAGUCGGAAUCGCUAGUAAUCGUAGAUCAGAAUGCUACGGUGAAUACGUUCCCGGGCCUUGUACACCCCGCCCGUCACACCAUGGGAGUGGGUUGCAAAAGAAGUAGGUAGCUUAACCUUCGGGAGGGCGCUUACCACUUUGUGAUUCAUGACUGGGGUGAAGUCGUAACAAGGUAACCGUAGGGGAACCUGCGGUUGGAUC
rnacentral:rRNA from 1 species